rnacentral:rRNA from 1 species
UCCUGGCUCAGAUUGAACGCUGGCGGCAUGCCUUACACAUGCAAGUCGAACGGCAGCACGGGAGCUUGCUCCUGGUGGCGAGUGGCGAACGGGUGAGUAAUACAUCGGAACGUACCCUGAAGUGGGGGAUAACGUAGCGAAAGUUACGCUAAUACCGCAUAUUCUGUGAGCAGGAAAGAGGGGGAUCGCAAGACCUCUUGCUUUAGGAGCGGCCGAUGUCGGAUUAGCUAGUUGGUGAGGUAAAGGCUCACCAAGGCGACGAUCCGUAGCGGGUCUGAGAGGAUGAUCCGCCACACUGGGACUGAGACACGGCCCAGACUCCUACGGGAGGCAGCAGUGGGGAAUUUUGGACAAUGGGCGCAAGCCUGAUCCAGCCAUGCCGCGUGAGUGAAGAAGGCCUUCGGGUUGUAAAGCUCUUUCGGUGGGGAAGAAAUUGCUUCGGUUAAUACCUGGAGUAGAUGACGGUACCCGCAUAAGAAGCACCGGCUAACUACGUG